CCUACGGGAGGCAGCAGUAAGGAAUAUUGGUCAAUGGACGCAAGUCUGAACCAGCCAUGCCGCGUGAAGGAUUAAGGCCCUCUGGGUUGUAAACUUCUUUUAUAGGGGACGAAAAAAGGGCAUUCUUGCUCACUUGACGGUACCCUAGGAAUAAGCACCGGCUAACUCCGUGCCAGCAGCCGCGGUAAUACGGAGGGUGCAAGCGUUAUCCGGAUUUACUGGGUUUAAAGGGUGCGUAGGUGGGUUGGUAAGUCAGUGGUGAAAUCUUCGAGCUUAACUCGGAAACUGCCAUUGAUACUAUCAAUCUUGAAUCAUCUAGAGGUAAGCGGAAUAUGUCAUGUAGCGGUGAAAUGCUUAGAUAUGACAUAGAACACCAAUUGCGAAGGCAGCUUACUAUGGAUGUAUUGACACUGAGGCACGAAAGCGUGGGGAUCAAACAGGAUUAGAUACCCUGGUAGUCCACGCCCUAAACGAUGGAUACUCGACAUUUGUGAUAUACUAUAAGUGUNUGNGNGAAGANAUAAGUAUCCACCNCGGAGUAAGACCGCGAGUUAGUAAGUUANAANAGAUUGNGNGNGAGAGNGCGAGNGACACAGGAGAGG
rnacentral:rRNA from 1 species